AACGACUCUCGGCAACGGAUAUCUUGGCUCUCGCAUCGAUGAAGAACGUAGCGAAAUGCGAUACUUGGUGUGAAUUGCAGAAUCCCGUGAACCAUCGAGUUUUUGAACGCAAGUUGCGCCCCAAGCCGUUAGGCUGAGGGCACGUCUGCCUGGGUGUCA
rnacentral:rRNA from 5 species